CCAAGAAGCAAGAAGGAAGCCACCAAUACUGAGAGCAGUGCCCCUGUCCCUGAGAAAAGAACUGUCAUGGUGACAAACACUGUCAUUACCAGGGGAAGGUACCGGAUGCCUGAUCUCAAACUGGCAUAAAUCAGGAGUAACCCCAUUCAAAUCAAUAAGAAGAGGAAAAAGAAGAUGGCAUUCCUACAAGUCAACCCCCUUCAGAAUGAGGACCCCAAAAAUGGAUUAGAGUUUCUCAAAGAUAAUUUCAACAAUAUUGUACCAUAACUUCUGAU